AAUAAAUCAAUUAAGGCCUUCAUUGUAAAAACGUUCAGCUUUCCUCCAUUGUUUCUCUCACCUCCUCUACUGCAGCGAUCGCCACCUCCUCCACCUUCAAGACCACUACUGCAAUCACCUUCUCCAUUGCCGGCUCCACCAACCCCUAAUUUGGUUAAUUCAUCAUUUGAGAAUGAAUACUUCUCUUCUCUGCUCACUCUAGGCCUCCAACAAGUCAGUCGCCAUAUCUUUCUAUGAUUGUUUUCGGGUGUUGUUGAUGACAUUCUGCCAUUUGGAAGCAGACCUUAUUUAUUAAUGAGCUAUUUGGAGCAGUGGUGAACAAACUGAGAAAACCAUUCAAAUCUCCUCCUCUUUCAUCGAUUGUGUCAAUCUUUGAGAUCCACCAUGAGAACACCACCUCCACCACCAUCGCAACCACCACCUCCUCCAUAGCCACGACCACCACCUCCUCCACCUCCGCGACCACAUCUACGUCCACCUCCUCCAUUGUCGGCUCUGCCAACCCAUUCAAGACACCUUCAAUUGGGUCCACCAAAGCAAAUGAGACCACCUCCACCAUCACGACCACCAUUGAAACGAAGAGCUAUGGGAGCUAUGGAAAGAUUUGAAAUAUUUGAGACAUUAGAAUCACAAUCUACACAACCGAUGGAAAAUAUUGAAGAGACACAAAUCAACUUGUCAAUUGGCACUAAAAAAAACCAUACAUAGACUGAUGAUAUGGAUGAUUUUUUGGUCGAUUCAUUAACUGAACAAAUGCACAAAGGCCAAAAAAUAGGAGGAGCUUUUACAAAGACGACUUUAGCAACUGUUGCUCAUCUGGCACACCCAAAAGCGUCUCAAUUUCGGUACAAACCCAUUAGGAAUUAUGAAAAGCUUGACAAACUUGUGGGAAGAGAUCGUGCUAUGGGAGAUCUUGCUGUAGGUCCAAUGGAAAGGCUGCAUCAUUGGAGUAGAGAGGAGCCACAUUUGGAUGAUAAUACAUCUCCAUUCGAAUAGAGUGAAUAUGGAGUUGGCGAUAAUAAUUCUGAACAAGGAUACGAGUACUUCAUAAAAAAAAAGUGGUAAAAAGAAGAAAGCAACACUAAGUGACAUUGUGGCUGAAGAAGUUAAAAAACGUUAGAUCUAGUAUGGAUGCAAUAGCUGCAGCUUUGAGUGGAGGCAUUUCAAACCUUUGAAGCAGAAAAAUAAUUAUAUGAAGAAAUCUUGAAAAUUGGUAAUAUUAUUGAGUGUCUCAUAUAAAAGUUUACUCUGCUCUCACAAAAAAUGAGAAGUCUGCACAUGCAUUUCUUGCUCUUCCAGAAGAUUGAUGUCGUCUUUAGUUGAUGGUGGAGUUCGGUAGCGAAUUAUUUGAUGUUUAGUUUUUUCUUUUUUAAUACAAUAGUUAGUUUAUAUAUAUCAAACAUUAUUGACAUAUAUUAAAUGUAUUAUCUUUUAAUUUUA